UUCUCUUCCAUUACUCUCAGCAGGCAAAACAAGAUUGAAUUUGUAAGGACAAAUCAUUUUGAGACUUUUUCCAAAUAGAACCCUAGCACCUCCUUGUAUGCUUAAUGUCAACAUCUCUUCAGCCUCUUCCAAUCUCCCUUACAGUGGACUCGUCAUCCCUUCUCCCUUACAAGGGUAUGGCCUCUCUCUCUCUCUCUGUUGUUUAAUGGUGGGGCAAGGGUUUUCGGUAACGUAGUGGUGUUGUGGUGGGGAUGGAAUGGUGUAACGGGAGGUGUGGUGUGAGAGAAGGGCUAGUGGUGCUAUAGUAGAGACGGAAAGGGCGGGCAUUUUCAGAUUUGUGGUGGAGAAAAAGAGUAAUUUUGUGGUUGUGGAUAAAAGGGAAAAAGGCAAUGGAUCUAUGGUAAUAGAGGGUUGGAGGGGCUGUGGCAAGGGGCGGAAGGGGAAGUGUAACCAGGUGGGAUAGGGGUUCCUAAGGGGAAUAAAGAUGUUGGAGAGCUAGAAGAGGGUUAGGAGAGGGAGAUAGUGUAAAAGCCCUUCUUGUGUUUGAUAAAAUACCUGUGUGAAACAUUGCCAUAUUGUUGGGUAUUUUAGAGUUGAAGGGUCAUUUCAUUAUCUUGUGUGGAGAAUCCUUAGUGCACCAGAUAAGCAAUGGGCUACUGAAAAUGGUGGGAUGGUUGAUGAAGAUGAUACUCAAGAUCCAGCAGAAGUUGAACAACAAUUAGAUCGGGUAAAGGACUGGAUCAGCUGUUAUCACCUUGAGACUAUUGAACUCAUCAAUGUCCUCUCAAAUUUUCGCAGCAUCUCAUUGGCUUUGAUUGAAGAAAUUAUGGACAAGCUAGUUAAGGAAGGUAUUCUAUCUAUGGAAUAGACUGUUACACCAUUGACAAACAAAAGAAAUUCCAUUAUGAUUUCAAUCUUAUAAAGGAAGAAAUGGUUGGCCAAGUUGUCCCAGGCAAGAAAGCUUAGCAGGAUAUUGGUGAAGAUCACAUGUACAUGAAGAUACACCAGCACAUAAUUGUUAAAAUCUUGGUGGAAUUGCUCAACACUUGGAAAUGUGGGGGAUUGUUGAUUUGUUUAUUCUUUUGGAGUUGACCCAUCUUGACAUGGGGAUGAAGAGUCAGUGUGAUGAGAAAAUGUCCGAUUUUGUCUUUUGUAAGACAAGAACAGUCUCUACAAAAAUAGUUUAUUCAUAUGCUUCUAGCGGUUUCUAAAUUAAUUUGUUUUUUUAUUUUUUAGGUCAGAAAUUUCCUGGAGAGAUACAAAAUAUGGUCAAAGAAUUCAAGAACUUAGUUUUUUCAAUUUUUUUUAUCUUUUAAUAUAUGUAAUCACAGGUAAAAACUUUUUAUUAAUUUCUUUUUAUAUACUUUUGAAU